UAGCAGAGGGGCAAGCGUUGUUCGGAAUUACUGGGCGUAAAGGGCGCGUAGGCGGCCCGCUAAGUCGAACGUGAAAUCCCCGAGCUCAACUCCGGGAACUGCGUCCGAUACUGGCGGGCUUGAAUCCGGGAGAGGGAUGCGGGAAUUCCAGGUGUAGCGGUGGAAAUGCGUAGAUAUCUGGAGGAACACCGGUGGCGAAGGCGGCAUCCUGGACCGGCAUGACGCUGAGGCGCGAAAGCUAGGGGAGCAACGGGG
rnacentral:rRNA from 1 species